ensembl:misc_RNA Vault Vault RNA
GGGCCAGCUAUAGCCCAGUGGUUCCUUUGGCUGCUUGCAAUGGCUUUCGUUCCUCUGCCCCGGCAGGGGUUUGAUCCCGUGGGCACCCCUGGCCCACUC